AACGUUAAAUUAGUUACUAAUUACUGAAAGCAUGUAGCUAAAUUAAGGGAAUAUUCUAAUGUGAGGCUGCAUAUAGGAAAAGAUUUUUUUUUUAUCUUCUUACAGUUUGAGGUUUUGAAACUAUCUAUCUGACUAACAAUAAAAAUAUUAUCUCUGUAUCUUUAAUUAUUUUUAUAAAAUUAAUCCUAAAAAUUGUCUUCGCAAAAAUGGGUAUUUGCAUUAAAAUAUUGCCUUGAGGCUGCAUUCAGAAACGUUAAUCAAGUGUAUCCAGAUAUCAUUUUAUCCUUGCUCAACAUUCGAUAAACUUUGGAAUAAAAUAUCUCUGAUGUUUCUGAACGCAGUUUAAGUUAUUGAUAAGAAGUUAUAAAUAAAGAGAAAUAUAAAUUAAAUAACGAAUUAUUUUUUAAUCUUAAUACAGAUUGAAUAUUAAAUAGAGGUGUUUGAAUCAAAGUUACUUUAUGCCACGUCGAAUCGAAUUUCUUUCUUUUUUUUUUAUUCCGAAUCAAAAUAAAUCAAUAAAAUUUUACAAAUUAAAUCCAUUCAAAUCGUUAAAACACAAUUUUUAGUUAAUAAUAUAAUGGAUACUGAAUUUCUACAUCACGCAUACCUCUCACUAUUAAAGAGACUGUAACAGAUAAGUUUUAUUUGCUACUAUGUUGAUUCUAAUUAUAUUAAUCUCUUUGCCUCCAACUCACGUUAAGUCUGUAAUUUUACCUUUAAUUUGAUAAUUCUAACAUUGUUAAUUGUUGCCCGCUAAUUUAUUUUGUUUUGUAUCAAAUGAUUUCUCUGUUCAUAUUUACGUAUCUAUGUAUCUAUUAUUGUUUGCUCUCUCGCGUUUAUCUGACUUCCUCGGCGAUGGUAGGAUGUUCGAACGAAGAUUUGGUCAGUAUACGUUAUUGCGUGAGAUAGUAAACACGCGGCAUUACACGAAAAAUUCAAGCGUAUACUUUGACAAGCGAAUUUCGCUUCCUACGGACAAAGUUAUCCAACGCUUCACUGGUUGUCAUCAGUGCCAAUGGUGCCGCUGCAAACUGCUGUCUAAACAUAUCUUGGCUAAAGAGAUACGCGCUGAUCCGAGCUGACUAUAUCUACUGCACCACCCGCAUCAAGUCGACGCGAAUGGCGAACACAUGAAAGAUGAAGCUACGUAUUAUCUUUAUGAAAGAACAAGUUUCAGCGUUAUUUUAUCAUCAAAAACCUUUGUAUAUCAUGAACAUUGUUAGGUGAACGACACUUGGGCAGAUAAAGAAAGGAAGAUAGAGACAGGAAAAUUCUUUUCUAUGGAAAAAUUUGCUGGACUUGUUUUAACAUACACUCCGUGCCUGCUCAAUGCGGGUGACGCAGUAGGUAAAGCCGAUUUUGGUCUCAGCCGCACACAUCUUCAGUAUAGAUGCGUCCAUCUCGCAAUUAAACGGCGGCGGUUUGAAGUGGCGGCAUUCGAAUAUGGUAAGUUAACAGCUUGGAACGAGCUAUGUCAGCGUGUUUGUACUACCGAUUGGCGAACGGCCAAACUGUGAAAACUUCUCUCAAAUCGGCGAACAUCCAACGAUCUCUGAUCGACAUACCAAGGUUAGUGCGUAUGCGUAAUGUAUUUGUUGUAACUUUUGCGACCGCACACGGAACCUUUGGCUUGCAGUUUUAUUCAGUUUCGAAGAUAGCAAUUCACGUCCCAAGUAACCAACGUUCAAAUUUGGCACGAGGGCACGAAGAUUACCAAUCGAUCGAAAUAGUGUAAUGUCUCUUGGUGCGCAAUGACAUAAUUAUUACGUUUGUCGCGCGGAAAUGUUAUAUCAUGUAAAAGAGGGAUCGAUUAACAUCCAUUUCCACCAAAAUAGAUUAACUUUUAUCUUGAUUUAACUUUUCACCGUUUUUUAGUUUUAAGAAAAAUGGUCAAGGACAGGUUAAACCAAGAUCAAAGUUCAUUUUAAAUACAUUGGUAGAAAUGAAUAUAAAAUGUAUUCAAAAUUUAUUCCAUUUGAAAAUUGAAAAAGAAAUAUGUUCGAAUUGAUCUUUGAAUUCAAAUAUUAGAGGAAAGUCGUCAAUACUGGCAUAGAUCUUUUGACACUCUCUUAUUUCUCGGAAACUAAUUGCACUUUUUUAAUAUCGACAAAAACAUAAUCUGCUUAGAUUACAUAAUUAUACAAAAAGACUUUUUUUGAGAUUUAAAUAAACCUCAAAAAGUGUAUAUUCCGAUAGAUUUUUAGUCGCUGAAAACGAAUCUAGUGACCAAAGUUGGACCAAAGGAUAUUACGUCACAAUUUCGAGAUAGAAAAUAAUGAAUUCCAGGAUAUUCAGAACAUUAUUGUAGCAUCGAUACCAUUUUUUUUUUUUUUUUUUUUUUGUUAAUGCGAAAGUAUUAACUUUUAACUUUAGCAUGUAUUUUAUCCUAUUUCGAUUUGAUUCGCUUUCGAGGUACAGUUAAAAGGGACAUUAGUCCAAAUAAGAAACACUAGCCGCGUAAGCUCGAUAUUAAAAUUACGUUUACCAUUAUUUUCUUGCAAUGAGUACGAAUACUCAUCUCCGAAGUAUUUUUUAUUGCUAAACACAAAUCCGUUAAUUAAAUUUAGCUAUCACAUCACAAUUAACCAAUUUACUGGUAAUGAGUCAUGUAUGAACGAAAGAAGCAUCAUAAAUGAUGACUUAUAUAUGAGCCAACAUCAUGUGACAACCUUUUUAGCAGUGAAAAAUACUUCGGAGCAAUGAUUAUUUGCACUUGUUAUAAAAAAAUAAUAAUGGCCAUGAUAUUAAUACACGCGAUCAGUGUCCUUUAUGUUAACUAUAUCUCGAAGACGAAGAAUUAAAUUGAAAUAGGACAAAAUGCAUGUCAAAAUUGAUAUUUUUUCACGGCAUUAACAAAAUUUGAAAAAAGAAAAUUAAUAUCAUUGCUGCAACGUCUUAAAAAUCCUAGAAAUUAUUGUUUUAAAUCUCUUUGAUGCCAUUUUUCUCAAAAUUGACAUGAAAUUCAACUUUGGUCGCCAAAUUUAUUUUCAACGCCAAAAAUUCACUCGAAAAAUACUUUGUUUAUUCAGGCCCUUCAAAAAUGUUAAAUGGUGUAAUUAAAGAAAUAAAAGUCC